rnacentral:lncRNA from 1 species
GUUGUAUUGAAUAUACUUUUGGUACAAUUUUACAAGUGUUACUUAAUUUUUAUAAUUCGUGUCUAUACCGAAGUAUGUAAUUUCACAUGAUUAAUCAUGAAAAAUUAUUUUAAAAAUCCCUUAAAAUUACGUACAAGUUAGCAACUACAUGUUACAGUACGGCCUUCAACAAUGAUUAAAACCAUACGCAUAAGCACCCGUCAUAGCAAGUGUUAAACAAUAGAUAAAAAUUGAGAAUGGAAAUGAAGAAUAUUUCAAAGAGCCAACAAUCCGAC